UGUCUCAAACCGACGGACACAAUUAUGGUUCAUUUGACCGUAAUUCACCCUCCCAGCAGAGUGGCUUUAAUUGACUGCAUCUUGGGAGAGAUUGCACUCCAACCCUGAAGCCAUGGCCACUUCUUGUAAUAGGCUUUGUUUUCAUUAAUUAGUAGACGGCGCUACUAACCGGUGGCGUCCCCAGCCCACUGUGCGGGCGCUGCAGAUCACGCUGCCUGCCCAGACACUGUUCCCGCUGCCCCACAAGCCAACGCCGUCGGGCGCUCAUUCACCGAGCGGGUCCCCAUUUCUGAAAGGCGACCCGAGCAAGCAGCACCUGAUGCGCGCUUGCUAAUGAAGAGCUUUCUCUGUGCUGGCCAGUGAGGUACAGGAUGCGGCUCUACAUCCUGUGUUCGGGUCAGUGUGUGCAAAGCCCUUUCGCUGUGCAGCCCGGCGACAUGGCUGUGUGCCAGGGCACCGAGCAGCAGGAUAUGAGCUCUGACGACAAUACGCAGAUCAAUCAGUCCAUCCCGACAUGUGUAAAGCAGCACAGGGUCCUCCCGCUACGCAAGACUCUUCCUCUAUCUCCCACCUUAAAAAUGAAAUUAUUUUUGAUUGGGUACACUAAAGAAACACAAAAAUAAAUGGAUAAUUAUGACUGUAAAAUUUAAAGUUGCAUACGAGCAUUUUUAAAAGCAUAACUAUUAAAACACAAUGGUGAUUUCUGUAGACGCCGGUACGUUGCUUCCACAUGUUUCAUGACUCUGAUUGGAUGUAUGGAUUGAAGACAGCUGCAGACCCAGAUGCCAUUUGAAGAGGGAUUAAUCUUCAGAGCUACAGUAUGUGACUGUCACCGAGUGGCAAGACACAGCUUCUCAAGAAUUCAUCCUGCUGCUGCCACCAGCAGUCACAUCACAUCAAUGAAGAGAAGUGAGCCAUUUCCAGUGGCAGUCAUACAUGCCCAAGCCACAACACUACCUCCACCAUGUUUCACACAGAUGAGUUGGUGGCCUGUGCUAUGAGCUGGGAAUCCAGAUGCUGGGCGCGGACCCUGGGGAAGAAGAAGAGUGCUGCGACAAUAGACAGGGGUAUUAAUUAUCAUGGAGAGGUGC